rnacentral:rRNA from 1 species
UACGUAGGGUGCAAGCGUUGUCCGGAAUUAUUGGGCGUAAAGAGCUCGUAGGUGGCCUGUCGCGUCGGCUGUGAAAACUCGGGGCUCAACUCCGAGCUUGCAGUCGAUACGGGCAGGCUAGAGUUCGGCAGGGGAGACUGGAAUUCCAGGUGUAGCGGUGAAAUGCGUAGAUAUCAAGAGGAACACCAGUGGCGAAGGCGAGUCCCUGGACAACACCUGACACUGAGGCACGAAAGCUAGGGGAGCAAACAGG